rnacentral:tmRNA from 1 species
GGGGCUGACUGGCUUUGACAGCGUGUAGAGGUGGUAAGCAAGCAUGCAGAGCGAUAAUGGCAUGGCUCUCUAAUCUCAGUCAUUGACUCAAUUAAAUGGCGAAAACAAUUACGCUCUCGCUGCCUAACCGAAGAACAGUAAGUUCGGCUUUAUCGCUGCCCAAGGGGCAGUGACGAGACAUCACCCAACUGCCCUCGCGCCGAGGCGGGUUGAUCAGGUGGUGCAGGAAUAUCGGCGAUAGGAUACGGUGACGGGCCUGCCUUUGGUCGAAAACCAAGCCGAGACUAAGCAUGUAGAAACCUUAUUAGUUCCACGUUUGGACGAGGGUUCAAACCCCUCCAGCUCCACA